rnacentral:misc_RNA from 1 species
AGUCGUAACAAGGUCUCCGUUGGUGAACCAGCGGAGGGAUCAUUACCAGAGUGCCCUAGGCUCUCCAACCCAUUGUGAACUUACCAAACGUUCCCUCGGCGGGCUCAGCGCGCGGUGGCCUCCGGGCCUCCGGGCGUCCGCCGGGGAAAACCAAACCCUGAUUUAAUCGUAUUUCUCUGAGGGGCGAAAGCCCGAAAACAAAAUGAAUCAAAACUUUCAACAACGGAUCUCUUGGCUCUGGCAUCGAUGAAGAACGCAGCGAAAUGCGAUAAGUAAUGUGAAUUGCAGAAUUCAGUGAAUCAUCGAAUCUUUGAACGCACAUUGCGCCCGCCGGCACUCCGGCGGGCAUGCCUGUCCGAGCGUCAUUUCAACCCUCAGGCCCACCCUUCCGGGGGAGCGGGCCUGGUGCUGGGGAUCGGCGGCCCUCGCGGCCCCCGUCCCUCAAAUACAGUGGCGGUCGCGCCGCAGCCUCCCCUGCGUAGUAGCACAACCUCGCACCGGAGAGCGGAACGACCACGCCGUGAAACCCCCAAUUUUUUAAGGUUGACCUCGGAUCAGGUAGGAAUACCCGCUGAACUUAAGCAUAUCAAUAAGCGGAGGAA